UAUCACAGCUAGCUUUGAUGAGCU
rnacentral:ncRNA from 5 species